GACGAACGCUGGCGGCGUGCUUAACACAUGCAAGUCGAACGGAAAGGCCCUGCGUUUGUGGUGUGCUCGAGUGGCGAACGGGUGAGUGACACGCGAGUAAGUUACCCUUGACCUUCGUAUAACUUCCGGAAAGUGAGGCUCAUACAGGAUAGGUGCUCCUGCCGUACGGCGGGGGGUGGGAAGUUUCGGCGGUUGGGCAUGGACUUGGGGCCUAUCAGCGUGUUGGUGGGGUAGUGGCUUACUAAGGCUUUGACGGGUAGCCGGCCUGAGAGGGUGAGCGGCAACGUUGGGACUGGGAUGCGACCCAGACUCCUACGGGAGGGAGCAGUGGGGAAUAGUGCACUGUAGACGGGAGGCUGAUGCGACGACGCCGCGUGGGGGGUGACGGCCUUCGGGUUGUAAACCACUUUCGCCUGUGAAGAGGCGUGGGUGACGGUAAUGGGUAAAGAAGCACCGGCUAACUACGUG
rnacentral:rRNA from 1 species